rnacentral:rRNA from 1 species
AACGAACGCUGGCGGCAUGCCUAACACAUGCAAGUCGAACGAGACCUUCGGGUCUAGUGGCGCACGGGUGCGUAACGCGUGGGAACCUGCCCUUAGGUUCGGAAUAACUCCCCGAAAGGGGUGCUAAUACCGGAUAAUGUCUUCGGACCAAAGAUUUAUCGCCUUUGGAUGGGCCCGCGUUGGGUUAGCUAGUUGGUAGGGUAAAAGCCUACCAAGGCGACGAUCCAUAGCUGGUCUGAGAGGAUGAUCAGCCACACUGGGACUGAGACACGGCCCAGACUUCUAGCGGAGGCAGCAGUGGGGAAUAUUGGACAAUGGGCGAAAGCCUGAUCCAGCAAUGCCGCGUGAGUGAUGAAGGCCUUAGGGUUGUAAAGCUCUUUUACCCGGGAUGAUAAUGACAGUACCGGGAGAAUAAGCUCCGGCUAACUCCGUG